ACCCCUAGCCAGUACUGUCUCUACACACACCUGAUCAGCCCCUAGCCAGUACUGUCUCUACACACACCUGAUCAGCCCCUAGCCAGUACUGUCUCUACACACACCUGAUCAGCCCCUAGCCAGUACUGUCUCUACACACACCUGAUCAGCCCCUAGCCAGUACUGUCUCUAGACACACCUGAUCAGCUCCUAGCCAGUACUGUCUCUACACACACCUGAUCAGCCCCUAGCCAGUACUGUCUCUACACACACCUGAUCAGCUCCUAGCCAGUACUGUCUCUAGACACACCUGAUCAGCUCCUAGCCAGUACUGUCUCUAGACACACCUGAUCAGCCCCUAGCCAGUACUGUCUCUAGACACACCUGAUCAGCCCCUAGCCAGUACUGUCUCUAGACACCCGUGUAGAUCUGAAAGGAGCCGAUUUUAAGCAGUAUUCAUGUUUUUCUGCCUUGCUGUUCGGGGGAUUUUUACCAUAUUGCUAAGACCUAUCCAUUCAUUUCAGAUCUAGAGGUAUGUCUUGGGCGUAGGAGUUGAUUUGGGAUUCAGCACCAGUGUCGAUGUUUUUGUUCAGAAGUUUUCCGCGAAGCCAUUUUGUUUGUCUGUUCAGAAUUCAGAUUGUGUUUAACGUAAAUGCUUUGGGUUGCUGUUUGGAAGUAUGUACCUGUUCCUUUCAUUUCAACACUUCAAAUAAAGCCUUAAGUCUGUGGACAUUUCACCCUAACAUUCCUGUCGACUUGAGUUGGGGAGUCUCAUGGUCUGCAGGGGGACUGACUGCUGCUAUGGGUUCGAUUGGAGGAAUCUUCUCAAUCACUGUGAAAAGAUGUUUUGGGGUAAUACUGGUCAAAAAGGUACUUCACCUAAUGCAAUCUCAAUGAGUCUUCACAUGUAGAUGAGAGAUUUUUGAGCCAUCUCACCACCAUUUGCAGAUUCUGGCUGUAUCCAUUUUGUCUGGGGGUAAAGGGAGCAUUCCCCCCAACAGACCCCUUCCCUGCUCCCCAUCUCGAUUCACUCCAAAGAACUCUGCAAGUGUCACCAAGACUACGUUUUGGAAGAAACACUGCAUGCAAACAACUUUUCAUAAAGGACAUUUGAGUGCAGAGAGAAGAAGCCAGAGGAAUGACUGGGUUGGAAGUCUUCUGCUAAUGUUCUCAGCUGUAAAAUAAUAAAAAUAAUCAACAUGGAAACACUACACUGCCCAAGGAGUGUCCUUUUGGAAGGAGGAGGUAUACGUGAAGGAUAUGUGCUGUCCUUUUGGAAGGAGGAGGUAUACGUGAAGGAUAUGUGCUGUCCUUUUGGAAGGAGGAGGUAUAAGUGAAGGAUAUGUGCUGUCCUUUUGGAAGGAGGAGGUAUAAGUGAAGGAUAUGUGCUGUCCUUUUGGAAGGAGGAGGUAUAAGUGAAGGAUAUGUGCUGUCCUUUUGGAAGGAGGAGGUAUAAGUGAAGGAUAUGUGCUGUCCUUUUGGAAGGAGGAGGUAUAAGUGAAGGAUAUGUGCGUAGCAACUUGUGAUUAAUGUUUUGACUGACGGUGUAUUGCUGUGAGGUGAUGGCUGUAUUGCGGUCGUGGUUGGGUUUUCGUGUGAUGAAUAAAAGAUUCUAGUGUUUUCUCGUCAUAACUUACUAAGGGGCCUAUGUUUUGACACAACGAGCCCUUUAACUUAACAUCUAGUUUUUUCUGCUUGUCUUUUUAAAGAACGAAAAACUGCUUUAGUCCAAUUUAUUGUUUUGAUACUGACAUUUUUACAAUGUUCUUUUCCAGUAAAUGUUGAUAGAUUUACACUCUAAUGCUGGUUUGUCAGAACCAUAUGUAAUGUAUCUAUAUAUCCUCUAUACAUAAUAUAAAACAUUGAUUUAAGGGCUAUUCUAGCCUACUUGAGUUUAACACUGGAGUCACAGUAUGCAAAUAUAAUGCAUAAAAAAACUAUUGGGUACAGAGGUUUCUUAGUGUUAAACUGACAGAGAAAAAGCCUUAAAUGUGCCGUGCUACAGAUUGUCAUUCAUGUUGGCUGUGUUGCUUUCAGGCAACACGGUGGAUGUUUUAAUGCUUAAUGGAAUAAAGAAUGCAUGGAAUUACA